rnacentral:lncRNA from 1 species
UCAUUUACAGAUGACGGUUGCAGGACAACUUCAGAAAAGCGAAACCAUUUACCGAUGGCUAAAUACUGGAAACUUGAUAUUUACCGAUAUCAACUUCAGCAAGACCAUUUACCGAUGGCUGCUGGGAAACAACUUGAUGUUAAAAAGGAAGCAGGACCAUUUGCCGAUGGUGGCUUCAAAGUAACUUGACAUUUACCGAUAUCAACUUCAACAAGACCAUUUACCGAUGACUGCUCCAAC